AGGCCACCUGACCCAAGUUGGUACAAUAAGACUCCGUGUAAGUCCAUUUGGGCCACCACACCCACCCGGGCCUGCAAGGGGAGGAAGCUGACUUAAGAAGGAACCCAACGCAGAGGAAAGCAAAAUGGAGACCUGGAGGGAGACGCCAAGUUCCAGUGACAUUAAGUUGCUGAAUCCCACCAUGGCUGAACCUGCAUUGCUGAAGCCCUCCUGAAUUGAAUUUCUGCCUCUUGCAAAUGAAACAGGCCUGAUGAAUACCGACAUAGUUCAAUUUCAAUAUACGAAGUUCUUCAGAGGACGGUCCCUGAGUUACUGAGGCCACUUUACGUGUUUGGGCAGAGAGCUGGGAGUGCCCAGAGCUGACACCCUCCAGGUGACCCAGAGGUAACGGCUGACCCACGCUGGAGUGUAGGAGCCUUGCUUCAAGAGCACACAGACUUUGAGGUGGGCUGAUUGUGGAAGCUAAAGCAACUCUACCUUGCAGGCUUAUCCACCAUGUGGACUUCCAAUUCAUCUCAGUUCCCAGAAUGCCUCUAAGAUUUCUACGUUAUCUGCUGUGAAGAGCAAGUAAUUACUGCAAAUCCUGCCCUUGGGUCAAAACAACCUUGAUGACAUAUUCCUUCUGAAGCACAUACGCUCUUUCCCUAGCUGCCUGCCCUGCAGACUUCAGGCUCCAGCAUCAGACACAGAGACCCAGCGUUAUGGAGACUGUCUAACCAGAUCUCACAAUUGUGGAAGAUCCCAACUCCUACAAAAAUCUCUUAAAAACCACGUGUCGCUGGGCACAGUGGCUCAUGUCUGUAAUUCCAGCACUUUGGGAGGCCGAGGUGAGUGGAUCUCUUGAGCCCAGGAGUUUGAGACCAGCCUGGAGCAACAUGGUGAAACUGUUCCUCUACAAAAGAUACAAAAAUUAGCUGGGCAUGGUGUCAUGCGCCUGUAGUCCCAGCUACUCAGGAGGCUGAGGUGGGAGGGUCACUUGAGCCCAGGAAUUGAAGGCUGUAGUGAGCUGUGAUUGUGCCCCUGCACUCCAGCUGGGGAGACAAAGCGAGACCCUGUCUCAAAAACAACCCCUCCCCCCAACAAAGUCACCUGGAUGAAGCCAGGCGCGGUGGCUCACGCCUGUAAUCCCAGCACUUUGGGAGGCCGAGGUGGGCGGAUCACAAGGUUAGGAAAUCGAGACCAUCCUGGCUAACACGGUGAAACCCUGUCUCUACUAAAAAUACAAAAAAUUAGCCGGGCGUAGUGGCAGGCGCCUGUGGUCCCAGCUACUCAGGAGGCUGAGGCAGGAAAAUGGCGUGAACCCGGGAGGCGGAGCUUGCAGUGAGCCGAGAUUGCGCCACUGCACUCCAGCCUGGGCGACAGAGCGAGACUCUGUCUCAAAAAAAAAAAAAAAAGAAAAGUCACCUGGAUGAAGCCUGUGCAGCCAUUUCAGCCAAAGAUGCUACUGGAGAUGGUGCCCAAGACAAAGAGAGGGGAGAAAUACCCUAGCUUCCCCUCCUGCCUUCCAGCCUCCCACCAGUCCUUUCCAUUGACUGAGCCCAGCAGGAAGGCUGGAAAGCUCAGUCUGCGUGUUCAUCACCUUGGGAAACAGAGCAGAGCAGGCGGAAGGGUAAGGAGGGGAUCGGAUGUCAUUCAGGCAAAUGACAAGUACACUAAAUAUUCACCCACUCGAUACGUAUUUAUUGAGUGCCGGGAGCCAUGCUAAGUGCUGAGGCUACUGCCUUGCUCAAAACAGACAAAGUCUCGUGGUUGGAGAUUGGAAUUGUUUUAGGAUGCCAGUGAGAAGCCUAAACUGCAGGAAGACACAAGGUCUCCACCACUUGCUAUAGCAAUUACUUAUAUUUAACAUUUCCCUAACCAGACAACAUGCUGGCAUUGGCAGAUGUUAAGUGAACCAAACUGAAAUACAAUACACUUCUCAAUUUAACCCCUCUCCAGAAAGAAGCACAUGAAUUUGGCAGCUCCUUUAAAGACGCUAAUAAGUUUGAAACAUCCUUUCUGUUGCCUCAUGGCUCUAUCAAGGGAAGUACUUACAGUUUUGGAGUUACAGUUCAUCUAAAUUCUUUGAUAUAAUUACUUUGCUAGGACACUUUUUUUUUUUUUUUGGAGUCUCGCUCUGUUGCCCAGGCUGGAGUGCAGUGGCACAAUCUUGGCUCACUGCAACCUCUGCCUCCUGAGUUCAAGCGAUUCUCCUGCCUCAGCUUCCCAAGUAGCUGGGACUAUAGGCGCCACCAUCACGCCUAGUUAAUUUUUUGUAUUUUUAGUAGAGACAGGGUUUCACUAUGUUGGCCAGGCUGUUCUUGAACUCCUGACCUCAGGUGAUCUGCCCACUUCAGCCUUCUAAAGUGCUGAGAUUACAGGUGUGAGCCACCAUGCCCGGGCUUUUUUUUUUUCAGUCUCACUCUGUUGCCCAGGCUGCAGUGCAGCAGCACGAUCUUGGCUCACUGCAACCUCCGCCUCCUGGGUUCAAGCGAUUCUCCUGCCUUAGCCUCCCGAGUAGCUGGGAUUACAGGCGCCCACCACCACACCCAGCUAACUUUUGUAUUUUUAGUAGAGACAGGGUUUCACCAUGUUGGCCAGGCUGGUCUUGAACUCCUGACCUCAAGUGAUCCAUCCGCUUCAUCCUCCCAAAGGCAUGAGCUGCCCUGUCCGGCCAUGAUAUAUUCGUUUUUUGUUUUGUUUUUGUUUUGUUUUUUUUGAAACGGAGUUUCACUCCUGUUGCCCAGGCUGGAGUGCAGUGGCACAAUCUUGGCUCACUGCAACCUCUGCCUCCUGGGUUCAAGUGAUUCUCAUGCCUCAGCCUCCCAAGUAGCUGGGAUUACAGGAGCCCACUGCUAUGCCUGGCUAAUUUUUUUAAUUUUUAGUAAAGAUGGGGUUUUACCAUGUUGGCCAGGCUGGUCUCAAACUCCUGACCUCAGGUGAUCCGCCUGCCUCAGCCUCCCAAAGUACUGGGAUUACAGGCAUGAGCCACUGCACCCCACCAUAUUCGUUUUUUGUUGUUGUUGUUGUUGUUACUGUUUUUAAGAGACAGGCUCUUGCUAUGUUGUCCAGGCUGGCCUCAAACUCCUGGGCUGAAGCUGUCCUCCUGCCUCAGCCUCCAGAGUAGCUGAGAUGACAAAGAUGCAUGCACCAGGGCACGCUUAUCUUGUAAAUUAUUUGGGGUGGAUCAUGCCAGUUCCUAAAUCAAAUAAUUAACUGGUUUUCUGUAAUCUAGAGACAGUAACAAAUAAUGUGGAUCUCAUUCAUCACUCGAGAUGUUAGGCACUAUGGCUGGGUUCUGUGGCUCACGCCUGUCACCCCAGUGCUUUGGGAGGCUGAGGUGGGAGGAUGGCUUGAGCCCAGGAGGCCGAUGCUGCAGUGAGCCAUGAUGGUGCCACUGCACUACAGUCUGGGCAACAGAGCAAGACCCUGUCUUUCUUUCUUUCCUUUUUUUUUUUUUUUGAGACAGAGUUUUGGUCUGUCACCCAGGCUGGAGUACAGUGGCCUGAUCUUGGCUCACUGCAGCCUCCACCUCGUGGGUUCAAGUGAUUCUCCUGCCUCAGCCUCCCAAGUAGCUGGGACCACAGGCGUGUGCCGCCACGCCUGGUUAAUUUUUUUGUUGUAUUUUUUGUAGAGAUGGAGUUACACCAUGUUGGCUGGGCAGAUGUCAAACUCAAGUGACCUCAAGUGAUUUGCCUGCCUCGGCCUUCCAAAGUGCUGGGAUUACAGGCAUGAGCCACGGUGCCCAGCCAUAUCUCAUCUCCUAAAAUAAAACAAAAUCAACCAGGCGGGAUGGCACACACUUGUAGUUCAGCUCCUCAGGAGGCUGCAUUGAAAGGAUCGCUUGAGCUCGGGAGAUCAAGGCGGCACUGAGCCGUGAUUGUGCCAUGGCACUCUAGACAGGGCGACAGAAAAAAAAAAAAAAAGAAUAUCACAGCAGCAAAAUGAAUGAAUUAUAGUCACACAUAACAAUGGCUGAGUCGAAUAUGGAGCCAUAAUACUGACUACAGACAGACAGACAGACAGACAUGUGUAUAUAUGUGUGUGUGUGUGUGUCUGUUUAAUUUAUAUUAAUAAUUAUGUUCGGCUGGGCGCUGUGGCUCACGCCUAUAAUCUCAGCACUUUGGAAGGCUGAGGUGGGCAGAUCACCUGAGGUCGGGAGUUUGAGACCAGCCUGGCCAACAUGGUGAAACCCUGUCUCUACUAAAAAUACAGAAAUUGGCGUGGUGGCAUGCGCUUGUAAUUCCAGCUACUCAGGAGGCUGAGGCAAGAGAAUCACUUGAACCCAGGAGGCCGAGGUUGCAGUGAACCGAGAUCGCACCAUUGCACUCCAGCCUAGGCAACAGAGCAAGACUCCGUCUCAAAUAAAUAAAUAAAUAAAUAAAUAAAUAAAAAUAAUUAUGUUCAUACAUAACUUUAAAAAUAAAAGAUCCAAACCAGAAAAACAAAACAAACAUAAGUGGUAAAACUACAAAGAAAAGCAACUAAAUUACCAGAAAAGCAAGGCUGUGGUUACGUCUGGGGGAAAGAAGGAGGCCAAGGCUGAGAGUCUGCAUGUUCCAGGUUUCUGGGCACUGGCAGUGACUAAUUUCAUGACCUGGGUGGUAGGUACCUAGGUGUUCAGCUUACUAUUACUUGACAAACUGUACAUAAUGGUUUUUGUGCUUUCCUCCAUGCUUAUUUCGUGAGAAAAUGCAAAUGUAAAAAAAAGCUGACAAAAGCAAGUCUCAGCACAUUGUUGUUUUAAAUGUAAUAGAUUAGUAUACAAUUUAUUUACAAGACGAACAGUACACAACAUAAUAAGAUAUAAAGGAACAUACAUUGAACUAGAAUGAUAUACCCCAAGUUCACAAUAGUGGUUGCUUCUGGAGAGUGAGAAAGUGGGGAUUAAUGUAUAAUUAUAUGCCAGGUGCAGUAGCUCACACCUGUAAUCUCAGCACUUUGGGAGGCCAAGACAGGAGGAUCGCUUUGAGACCAGCCUGGUCAACAUAGUGAGACCUCCAUCUCUACAUAAAAUGUAAAAAAUUAGCCGGGUGUGGUGGCAUGCACUUGUAGUCCCAGCUACUUGAGAAGUUGAGGUAAAAAGAUCACUUGAGCCUGGGAGGUCAAGGAUACAGUGAGCUGAGAUCACAUCACUGUGCUCUAGCCUGGGCGACAGAGACAGACCUUGUCUCAAAUAAAUAAAUAAAUAAAUAAAAUAUUUUUUAAAAGGCCGGGCCUGGUGGCUCACGCUGUAAUUCCCAGCACUUUGGGAGACCGAGGUGGGCAGAUCACGAGGUCGAUAGAUCGAGACCAUCCUGGCCAACAUGGUGAAACCCCGUCUCUACUAAAAAUACAAAAAUUAUCUGGGUGUGGUGGCUUACACCUGUAGUCCCAGCUAUUCAGGAGGCUGAGGCACAAGAAUGGCUUGAACCUGGGAGGCGGACGUUGCAGUAAGCCGAGAUCAUGCCACUGCAUUUCAGCCUGGGUGACAGAGUGAGAUUCUGUCUCAAAAAAAAGAAAAAAAAGGCCAGGCACAGUGGCUUAUGCCUGUAAUCCCAGCGCUUUGGGAGGCCGAGGUGGGCGGAUCAUGCGGUCAGGAGAUCGAGACCAUCCUGGCUAACAUGGUGAAACCCCAUCUCUACUAAAAAUAUAAAAAAUUAGCCGGGCGUGGUGGCGGGCGCCUGUAGUCUCAGCUACUCGGGAGGCUGAGGCAGGAGAUGGCGUGAACCUGGGAGGCGGAGCUUACAGUGAGCCGAGAUCGCACCACUGCACUCCAGCCUGGGUGACAGAGCAAGACUCCGUCUCAAAAAAUAUAUAUAUAUAAUUAUAAUAUAUAAUAAUAAGUAAUUCUAAUCUAGUGGUUUUUAAGGUAUUCAGAGGGUUGUGCGACCACCACCGCUAUCUGCUUUCGGAAUAUUUUCAUCAUACCCAUUAGUUGUCACUCUUCCUUUCUCCACCCCCCCAGCCCCUGGCAAGCACUUCUCUGCUUUCUGUCUCUGAACUUGCCUGUUCUGGACAUUUCCUAUAAGUGGAAUCAUACACUAUGUAGUCUUUUGUGAUGGACGAGCUUCACUUCCCACGAUGUCUUCAAGGUUUUUCCAUGUGAUAACCUGUGUCAAUACAUCAUUCCGUUGGAUGGCUGAAUCAUACUCCAUUGUACGGUAGAUCACAUUUUGUUUAUUCAUUCAUCAGUGGAUGGACACUUGCGUUGUUUCCACUUUUUGGCUUUUAGGAAUAAUGCUAGUAUCAACAUUUGUGUACAAGUUUUUGUGUGGACAUAAUGUUUCAUUUCUUUUGGUGCUACACCCAGAAGUGGAAUUGCUCUGUCAUAUGGUAACUUGGUGUUUCAUAUUUUGAGGAACUGCCAAACUGUCUUCUGAAGUGGCUGCACCAUUUCACAUUCCCAUCGGUAAUACGUGAGGGUCUUAAUUUCUCCACAUCUUUAACAUUUAUGAUUGUCGUUUUAAUUUUAGCUAUUCUAGUGAGUGAGAUCACUCUGGGCUAAUUUGCAUUUCCCUAAUAAUUAAUGAUGUUGAACUUAGGAUGUCUUUGUUAAAUGCAGAAAUAACCAUGUAAAUUUCCAGAAUAAAUCGCCACAUCAAAAUUUUUAUAUGAUUAAUCUGAACAAUUAAUACUUUAGUUAUUUUCUGAUUACAAAAGCAGUAUAUACUCAAAUGAUUAUUCCCAAAAUCAGGGUAAUCCUGUGAGGGGAAGAGAGAGAGAGCCAGGAUCGGAGAAGAGGGACAUUGGUCAUUUAAAGCGAUGGCAUGGCCAGGCCCAGUGGCUCAUGCCUGUAAUCCCAGCACCUUAGGAGGCCAAGGUGGGAGGAUCACUUGAGGUCAGGAGUUUGAGACCAGCCUGGCCGAUAUGGUGAAAUACCUUUUCUACAAAAAUACAAAAAUUAGCUGGGCAUGGUGGUGGGUGCCUGUAAUCUCAGCUACUUGGGAGGCUGAGCAGGAGAAUCCUUUGAACCCUGGAGGCAGAGGUUGCAGAGAGCCGAGAUCAGGCCACUGCACUCCAGCCUGGGGAACAAGGGCAAAACUCCAUCUAAAAAAAAAAGAACGAUGGCAAUAUCUUCUUCUUGACCUGGGUCAGUUACACAGAUUGACUUUGUAAUUAUUAUUUAAAUUACAUCUGGAGUCCUACCCUUCCCUUCCCUUCCCUCCCUCCCUCUCUUCUUUCCUUCCUUCCUUCUUUCCCUUUCUUUCUUUCUUUCUUUCCUUCUUUUCUUUUCUUUUUUUUUUUUUUUUUUUUUUAAGACGGAGUCUCGCUCUGUCGCCCAGGCUGGAGUGCAGUGGCGCAAUCUCGGCUCACUGCAAGCUUCGCCUCCCGGGUUCACGCCAUUCUCCUGCCUCAGCCUCUCCGAGUAGCUGGGACUACAGGCGCCCGCCACCAUGCCCGGCUAAUUUUUUGUAUUUUUUUAGUAGAGACGGGGUUUCACCGUGGUCUCGAUCUCCUGACCUCGUGAUCCGCCCGCCUCGGCCUCCCAAAGUGCUGGGAUUACAAGCGUGAGCCACUGCGCCCGGCCCCUUCUUUUCUUUUCUUUUCUUUUCUUUUCUUUUCUUUUCUUUCUUUCUUUGUUUCGUCUUUCUGUCUUUCUUUCUUUCUCUUUCUUUCUCUUUCCCUUCCUUCCUUCCUUCCUUUCUUCCUUCUUUUCUCUUUUCUUUUCUUUUCUUUUCUUUUCUUUUCUUUUCUUUUCUUUUCUUUCUUUCGACGGUCUCCCUCUGUUGCCCAGGCUGGAGUGCAGCGGCAUAAUCUCGGCUCACUGCAGCCUCCCUGCCUCGGGCUCCCAUGAUUCUCCUGCCUCAGCCUGCCGAAUACCUGGCAUUGCAGGCGCACACCACCACGCCUGGCUGGUUUUUGUAUUUUUGGUGGAAGAGGGGUUUCGCUGUGUUGGCCAGGCUGGUCUCCAACUCCUGACUUCGAGUGAUCUGCCCGCCUCGGCCUCCCGAAGUGCUGGGAUUACAGACGGAGUCUCGCUCACUCAAUGCUCAAUGUUGCCCAGGCUGGAGUGCAGUGGCAUGAUCUUGGCUCGAUACAACCUCCACCUCUCAGCCGCCUGCCUUGGCCUCCCAAAGUGCUAAGAUUACAGCCUCUGCCCAGCCGCCACCCCGUCUAGGAAGUGAGGAGCGCCUCUGCCCGGCCGCCCAUCAUCUGGGAUAUGAGGAGGGCCUUUGCCCGGCCGCCCCGUCUGGGAUGUGAGGAGCGCCUCUGCCCGGCCGCCACCCCGUCUAGGAAGUGAGGAGCGCCUCUGCCCGGCCGCCCAUCCUCUGGGAUGUGAGGAGCGCCUCUGCCCGGCUGCCCCGUCUGGGAAGUGAGGAGCGCCUCUGCCUGGCCGCCCAUCGUCUGGGAUGUGAGGAGUGCCUCUGCCCAGCUGCUUCGUCUGGGAAGUGAGGAACGCCUCUGCCCGGCCACCACCCCAUUUGGGAAGUGAGGAGCGCCUCUGCCCGGCUGCCACCCCGUUUGGGAAGUGAGGAGUGCCUCUGCCUGGCCACUGUGCAACCUUCCAAGUGUGAAGUGACAGCCUUCAUUGUAGAAUGAAUGAAGACACUGGCACUGAUUAUAUAACACCUUGGCAGCUAUCUCAAGUCGUUGAUGGUGGAGGUAUUGGAAUUAUAGAAGAAAGCAAACACACAAAUUUGACUAAAGGCGAUUUUGUGACUUCUUUCUAUUGGCCCUGGCAAACCAAGGUUAUUCUGGACGGAAAUAGCCUUGAAAAGGUGAUCUAUAUAUGAACGUAUCUGAUUUUUUUUUCCCUGUAUAAUUCUUACUUUGUGCAUUUGAUAUUCAGUUGUGUUUGUAAUCACGGAAAAAUAAAAGCAUAUAUUUUCUU